CAGCGAUUGCCUGGAUUCAUUCGCGACUGAUCUGUUCCCAUGGGCGCAGACGUCGUCUCUGAUUGUGCCCGCCAGCAGAUCCACUCUGGUUAGUCCCUUACCUUUGGGGAUAGUGUUUGAUCUCCUUGCUUAGUCCGACAUGAAGAUUUCUACCAGUGAUUGGAGACUAAAUUGGGGUAAGCCUAUGAACUGAUUUUGGAUUUCAUUAUAUGGUUAGUUGAUAGAUGUCUUGGAUUUGGGUGAUGGUGUGGGCAGCAGUAAGUAUUACCCCUGAUUUCCAGCAGUAGGGUUGCUUCAAUCACAAACUAACAGUGGAGUGCAAUGGAAUUGGGUUUGGUAUCAAUAGGAUUGACCUGUUGGAUGUGAGAGUAAUCCAUGGAAAGUAAGACUGAUUAUUUUUUGUGUACUGUUUUUGUGUUCUUGGAUGAUGAUAUUGUGGUGCAGCGGGAUCUCACAGCAUUGUGGAAAAUUGAUAUCGAUGGGAAGGUGAAUGGAGCAGUUGAGACAUGCUUUGGGUCUUUUCAUCAUUAUUCACAGCAUAUAAAUUUCUCACACCCUUGAUCAAAGUUAAGUGGAAUUUAGUGGGCAGCUUUUAUUUUGUUAUGUGUAGAAUUCACAAUAGCUCAGCUGAAUUCCAAAUUUUCUCAACAAAAUUGGUUGGUUCAUUAAUCUGUACAAGAGAAGCAAUUUAGCUCAUGAAAUUCGAAGACAGGGAGAGCAAAAAGAAGAAAUUGAAGGCAUGGAUGCUAUUAGCUCGAGGAUGGAGGAACAAAUUAUUGAAAGG